UUUUUGGCCAUUUCUUGGGCUGCUCCCGCAGCAUAUGGAGGUUCUUCAAAAAACUAAAAAUAGAACUACUAUUUGAUCCAGCAUUCCCACUCCUGGGCAUCUAUCCAGAGAAAACCAUAAUUCAAAAAGGUUCCCCAAGGUUCAUUGCAGCACUAUGUACAAUGGCCAAGACAUGGAAGCAACCUAAAUGUCUACCAAGAGAGGAAUGGAUAAAGAAAAUGUGGUACAUAUAUACAAUGGACUAUUACUCACCCAUAAAAAGAAUGAAAUAACAUCAUUUGUGGCAACAUGGAUGGACCUAGAAACUAUUAUACUAAGUGAAAGACAAACAUAUGAUAUCACCUGUAUGUGGAAUCUGAAAAAAAAAAAAGAUACAAAUGAACUUUUUUGUGGGAUAGAAACAGACUCACAGGCUUUGAAAAACUUGUGGUUACCAAAGGGGACAGGUCGGGCGUCGGGGGGAGGAACUGGGGGUUUGCGCACUGAGGUAUAUGGAGUGACUGGCCAACAGGGGCCUGAGGUAUAACACAGAGAACUCCACCCAGCACCCUGUGAUGAUCUACGUGGGAAAACAUUCUGAGACAGAAUGGAAAUGUGUGUAUGUAUGACUGGGUCACUUGCUGCACCGCAGCAAUUACCACAACCUCGUAAAUUACUUAUACUUCAAUAAAACCUAAAAAAAAAAAAAAAAGUCCCAGAGAAGAGAGAAUCACCAUGAGCUGGGGGUACAAAAAGUGGCCUCAUGGAGUUGGGGGGAGGGUGAACAGAGGAGACAACCAAGAAAAUGAUGACAUGAGGAUCGUACAACUUUCAUUAGGUUAAAUGGGCUACGGCCCCAGGAUGAGUAACCAGACUAUCUAAGGAACACCUAUAAUAAAGAAGAAAAAGGAAAAGAAGCAAAAAAGGAUGAACAGCCUACAUCCAAAAGAAGAAACGUAAAUGAAAAGCCUUCCUCAUCUUCACAGGGGAAUACAAAUUAAAACCACAAGGAAAUUUCAUUUCAUACCCAUCAGACUCGAAAAAACAAAAAAGCUUUACAAAAUCAAAUGUGACAGGAUACAGAACAACAGGAACUCGUAUGUGUCCUUGCCGGGAACGUUCAGAGAACCUCCUGACAACAUUCAGCAAAGUUAAAGAUACUCACUUCUUUGUGUGUGUGUUUGCUAUUUCUUGGGCCGCUCCCGCAGCAUAUGGGAGGUUCGCAGGCUAGGAGUCGAACUGGAGCUGUAGCCUCCGGCCUACACCACAGCCACAGCAAUGUGGGAUCCGAGCCGCAUCUGCAACCUACACCACAGCUCACGGCAAUGCCGGAUCAUUAACCCACUGAGCAAGGGCAGGGACCGAACCCGCAACCUCAUGGUUCCUAGUCGGAUUCGUUAACCACUGCGCCACGACAGGAACUCCAAGAUACUCACUUCUUACACUUACCCAUCUCAUGCCUCGGUACGCACCUCAAAGAAAUUCUUGCCCAUGCACCUCAGGAAAUGUGUGUAACGACAUUCAAAGUAGG
rnacentral:lncRNA from 1 species